CACCAGGCAAACUGUUUGAUCAGUAGGAUUGGGCAUCAAGAACCGGUUCCAACUCGGAAUCACUGCAAAAAUUACGAUUCCAAUGGAAUCCAUUCUUUAUUGGAAUCGUUAGAAAAAUUUGUUUUUUUUAUAUUGGCGA